rnacentral:rRNA from 1 species
UGGGGAAUAUUGGACAAUGGGGGCAACCCUGAUCCAGCCAUGCCGCGUGAGUGAUGAAGGCCUUCGGGUUGUAAAGCUCUUUUGGCGGGGACGAUGAUGACGGUACCCGCAGAAUAAGCCCCGGCUAACUACGUGCCAGCAGCCGCGGUAAUACGUAGGGGGCAAGCGUUGUCCGGAUUUACUGGGUGUAAAGGGCGCGCAGGCGGGAUAAAAAGUCAGUGGUGAAAUCCUACAGCUUAACUGUAGAACUGCCUUUGAUACUUUUAUUCUUGAGUUCGGGAGAGAGAGACGGAAUUCCAGGUGUAGUGGUGAAAUACGUAGAUAUCUGGAAGAACACCAGUUGCGAAGGCGGUCUCUUGGUCCGACACUGACGCUGAGGCGCGAAAGCGUGGGGAGCAAACA